UGGUUGGCGGUGGUUGGAGAUGGUCGGAGGUGGACGAGGAGGACGAGGAUUUGUGCUCGUUCUGUGCCCCACCUAGUGAUCCGCUAGUACAUAUCCUCCGAUGUGACAUCGCUCUGCUACGUAUGAAGAAGAAAAGAUUUAUUAAGAUGCAAAUUGCUCCUCUCUUCUUGCCAUUGUGCUUUCAGCCAUUCUUGUGCUGUGUGUUUAAUAUUUAGGACAGUAUGUAAUAUAGAAUAACAGGUACAGCUACGAAUAUAGCACUACAAUAAAUCUUAUAGAAAUGAGCUCUCAUUGAGAUUUCUCUGUAUUUAUAACUCGACGCGAGAAGGCAAAAA